AUAGCAUAUCAAUAAGCGGAGGAAAAGAAACCAACAGGGAUUGCCUCAGUAACGGCGAGUGAAGCGGCAACAGCUCAAAUUUGAAAUCUGGCUCCCCCGGGGCCCGAGUUGUAAUUUGUAGAGGGCGCUUCGGCGUCGGCCCGGGCCUAAGUUCCUUGGAACAGGACGUCACAGAGGGUGAGAAUCCCGUACGUGGCCCCCGGCCUUCGCCAUGUGAAGCCCCUUCGACGAGUCGAGUUGUUUGGGAAUGCAGCUCUAAAUGGGAGGUAAAUUUCUUCUAAAGCUAAAUACCGGCCAGAGACCGAUAGCGCACAAGUAGAGUGAUCGAAAGAUGAAAAGCACUUUGGAAAGAGAGUCAAAAAGCACGUGAAAUUGUUGAAAGGGAAGCGCUUGCAGCCAGACUUGCCCGCAGUUGCUCACCCAGGCUUACGCCUGGUGCACUCUUCUGCGGGCAGGCCAGCAUCGGUUCGGGCGGUCGGAUAAAGGCCCCGGGAAUGUGGCCCCUCUCGGGGGGUGUUAUAGCCCGGGGUGCAAUGCGGCCAGCCCGGACCGAGGACCGCGCUUCGGCUAGGAUGCUGGCGUAAUGGCCGCAAGCGGCCCGUCUUGAAACACGGACCAAGGAGUCUAACAUCUAUGCGAGUGUUUGGGUGUCAAGCCCGGGCGCGCAAUGAAAGUGAACGGAGGUGGGAACCCCUCGGGGCGCACCAUCGACCGAUCCUGAUGUCUUCGGAAGGAUUUGAGUAAGAGCAUAGCUGUUGGGACCCGAAAGAUGGUGAACUAUGCCUGAAUAGGGUGAAGCCAGAGGAAACUCUGGUGGAGGCUCGCAGCGGUUCUGACGUGCAAAUCGAUCGUCAAAUUUGGGCAUAGGGGCGAAAGACUAAUCGAACCUAUCUAGUAGUGGUCUUGCACGA
rnacentral:rRNA from 1 species